rnacentral:rRNA from 1 species
UACGUAGGGUGCAAGCGUUGUCCGGAAUUAUUGGGCGUAAAGAGCUCGUAGGCGGUUUGUCGCGUCUGCUGUGAAAACCCGAGGCUCAACCUCGGGCCUGCAGUGGGUACGGGCAGACUAGAGUGCGGUAGGGGAGAUUGGAAUUCCUGGUGUAGCGGUGAAAUGCGUAGAUAUCGGAAGGAACAUCAGUGGCGAAAGCGACUUCCUGGACCAGUACCGACGUUCAGGCACGAAAGCGUGGGGAGCAAACAGG